GCUUCAGUGGUCCAACGGUAGGAUGUAAGAGCAUCUGGUUCGUGAUGGUACGAGAUCAUAGCUAACAUUCCUAAGAAUUGCCUUCCAAGCAAUUGGCCCGGGUUCGACUCCCGGCUGAUGCA